rnacentral:rRNA from 1 species
CCUACGUGCGGCAGCAGUGGGGAAUAUUGGACAAUGGGGGGAACCCUGAUCCAGCCAUGCCGCGUGUGUGAAGAAGGCCCUCGGGUUGUAAAGCACUUUCAGUGAGGAAGAACGCCUGGUGGUUAAUACCCAUCAGGAAAGACAUCACUCACAGAAGAAGCACCGGCUAACUCCGUGCCAGCAGCCGCGGUAAUACGGAGGGUGCGAGCGUUAAUCGGAAUUACUGGGCGUAAAGCGCGCGUAGGUGGCUUGAUAAGCCGGUUGUGAAAGCCCCGGGCUCAACCUGGGAACGGCAUCCGGAACUGUCAAGCUAGAGUGCAGGAGAGGAAGGUAGAAUUCCCGGUGUAGCGGUGAAAUGCGUAGAGAUCGGGAGGAAUACCAGUGGCGAAGGCGGCCUUCUGGACUGACACUGACACUGAGGUGCGAAAGCGUGGGUAGCAAACAGGAUUAGAUACCCCGGUAGUC